rnacentral:rRNA from 1 species
CCUACGGGGGGCAGCAGUGGGGAAUAUUGGGCAAUGGGCGAAAGCCUGAUCCAGCCAUGCCGCGUGUGUGAAGAAGGCCUUCGGGUUGUAAAGCACUUUCAGUGGGGAAGAAAGCCUUGGGGCUAAUACCCUCGAGGAAGGACAUCACCCACAGAAGAAGCACCGGCUAACUCCGUGCCAGCAGCCGCGGUAAUACGGAGGGUGCGAGCGUUAAUCGGAAUUACUGGGCGUAAAGCGCGCGUAGGCGGUCUGAUAAGCCGGUUGUGAAAGCCCCGGGCUCAACCUGGGAACGGCAUCCGGAACUGUCAGGCUAGAGUGCAGGAGAGGAAGGUAGAAUUCCCGGUGUAGCGGUGAAAUGCGUAGAGAUCGGGAGGAAUACCAGUGGCGAAGGCGGCCUUCUGGACUGACACUGACGCUGAGGUGCGAAAGCGUGGGUAGCAAACAGGAUUAGAUACCCGGGUAGUC